rnacentral:SRP_RNA from 1 species
GCUGGGUGUGGUGGUGCACGCCUGUAAUCCCAGUUGCUCAGGAGGCUGAGGCAGGAGAAUCACUUGAACCCGGGAAGCAGAGGUUGCGGUGAGCUGAGAUUGCACCACUGCACUCUAGCCUGGGCAACAGAGUGAGACUCUGUCUCAA